ACGGAAGGCAGCAGUGAGGAAUAUUGGUCAAUGGGCGGAAGCCUGAACCAGCCAAGUCGCGUGAAGGAUGAAGGUAUUAUGUAUUGUAAACUUCUUUAGACGUAGAGAAAUAAGGGGAUCGUGAUCCCUGAUGCUGGUAUACGUAGAAUAAGGAUCGGCUAACUCCGUGCCAGCAGCCGCGGUAAUACGGAGGAUCCGAGCGUUAUCCGGAUUUAUUGGGUUUAAAGGGUGCGCAGGCGGCUUUUUAAGUCAGUGGUUAAAUCGUGGAGCUUAACUCCAUCCCGCCAUUGAUACUGGAGAGCUUGAUUGCGGUUGAGGUUGGCGGAAUUCGCCGUGUAGCGGUGAAAUGCAUAGAUAUGGCGAAGAACUCCGAUUGCGUAGGCAGCUGACCAAGCCGUAAAUGACGCUCAUGCACGAAAGUGCGGGGAUCGAACAGGAUUAGAUACCCUGGUA
rnacentral:rRNA from 1 species